UCCACCCGUUCCCAUACCGAACACGGAAGUUAAGCCCUCCAGCGCCGAUGGUACUUGGGCUUAAGCCCUGGGAGAGUAGGUCGUUGCCAGGC
rnacentral:rRNA from 1 species